rnacentral:rRNA from 1 species
GACGAACGCUGGCGGCGUGCCUAAUACAUGCAAGUCGAGCGGAAGUUGGAGAGCUUGCUCUUCAACUUUAGCGGCGGACGGGUGAGUAACACGUGGGCAACCUGCCCUGCAGAUCGGGAUAACUCCGGGAAACCGGUGCUAAUACCGAAUAGUUUUCGCCACCUCCUGGUGGCGUACGGAAAGACGGUUUCGGCUGUCACUGCAGGAUGGGCCCGCGGCGCAUUAGCUAGUUGGUGGGGUAACGGCCCACCAAGGCAACGAUGCGUAGCCGACCUGAGAGGGGGAUCGGCCACACUGGGACUAAGACACGGCCCAGACUCCUACGGGAGGCAGCAGUAGGGAAUCUUCCGCAAUGGACGAAAGUCUGACGGAGCAACGCCGCGUGAGUGACGAAGGUUUUCGGAUCGUAAAACUCUGUUGUGAGGGAAGAACAAGUACCAACUAACUACUGGUACCUUGACGGUACCUCACCAGAAAGCCACGGCUAACUACGUGCCAGCCGCCGCCGUAACAC